rnacentral:lncRNA from 10 species
GAUGAUAUUUUUCAGAUAAGGUUGGCAUUUAAUCAGCAGACUUGAGAAAAGUCACGUACCUUCCAUAAUGUGGGUGAGCUUCCUCCAGGCAGUUGAGGGCCUUAAGAGAAAAGGGUGAUGUCUACCAGAGGAAGAGGGAAAUCUGCCUUCAACCUGAGUUCACAUUCAAGUUGCAAGAUCAGCUCUUCCCUGGGUCUCCAGCCUGCUCAGCAGAUUUUGAUUUUGCUAGCCCCUACAAUCAUGUGAGCCAAUGCUUUAAAAUCUGCCUCUUCUCUCGCUCUGUCUCUCUGUAUCCCUCCCUCCCUUUCUCUCUCUCUCUCUUUAUUGUCCCCCAAUUUCUCUCCCUCUCCUUGCUUCUCUCUCUUCUCUCUCUCCCCGCUUAUCUCCCUUCUGGCCUCUCUCCUCUCUACUCCUCCUCCUUUUCUCCCUCCCCACUUUUCUCUCUCUUUUCUCUCCCUCUCUACUCUCCUCUUUCUCUCUCCCCCUCACUCUCCCUCUUUUUUCUCUCUCCUCCCUCUCUUUCCCUUUCUCUCCUCUCUCUCUCAUUCCUCUUUGCCUCUCUCUCCCUCACUCUUCCACCUCUUCCUUCUCUCUCUCUCUCUGUGUGUGUGUGUGUGUGUGUGUGUAUGUAUGUAUUUCCUUCAUGCAUCCUGUAGGUAUGUGUAUACACAUACUUACAUGUAGACACACACAUCCUACUGUUAUUUUUUCUUGGGAGGACCGUAACACACCAUUGAACUAGGUGGAAGUGAGAUUAACUGCUAAGGCCCUGGGGUUUAUGGCUUCCCUUUGGGUAACUUUGUCCCCUGAACAGAAUACAGAUCAACAUUGAGUCCCCUGAAUUUCUCUUAAACCUGAGCAUGAGAUAGUCUCUCUAGGGUCCUCAGCUCGAGUCUGUGAUCUCUGUUCCUUAUCUCACCCCUAUUCAGAGCUGAGAAAUCUUCAUGAGGAUGGAGAACAUAGGAGUUAAGCCACUUUCAGAGGUGGGAAUGGAAAUUUUCAGAUUUGAUGAUGUUCCAGGUAGAGAAAUAACACCAUUGAUUCAAGAAAGAAAAAUGGGCCUAAAAGCCUUCCUAUGCCUAUCCUCUCCUGAGUAGUACAGUUGUGGAUUGGAUGGUAAUACUGGUGGCACCUGAAAAGAGGCAAGCUGUCUCUUGCCUGCUGUCAUGGAAGACGUGACUUUGCUCCUCAUUGACCUUCUGACACGAUUGUGAGACCUCCCCAGCUGUCUGUAACUGUGAGCAUGAUAGCACGCCUCAUGGACACAAUGUGAAGAGUAUGGUAAUAUAUGAUUUAUAUUUGUUAAAUGAAACACUGAACAUGUUAGUAACUGGAUAAAAUGGGCAAAAUAAGCAAUUCUGGCUUUACUGUUGAACUAUACUAUCUUUGGCUGAAAUGUUUAUUGUAAGUAAAAUUUUACCCCUUUCAUCUGAGAAAAUAGUUGUUCAAUAUAACAGCACUACUUACAUAUUUAUCCACUCAUAGGUAGCUUUUGUUUAUCUUUUGGAAAGCCUUGAUUCAGAAGAUAAGAGAAUCAGAAUUUGUCUGGCCUAAGGCUUCUUUUCUCGUGUUUGUCAUUGCUUCCUACAGCUCAGUAGGUUUGGGAGGCUGUUUCUAGAUAAAACUAUACAAUCUGUAUAAAAACACAAACUAUUUGGACAAAAAAUUUAUAAAGGGUCCUCAGAAGAGCAGAAUGAGAAAGCAAAGAGAGCCCUAAUGAACUCACAUGGAAAUGGGAUUCAUUAAAGUUGGAGAGAAAGGCAUACAUCAAUUUCAGAAGCUAGUGAAGAUGUUUGGAAUCCACAAGGCUAAAUUAUGAGUAGAAAUUUCAAAAUUCAUGAAAAGAUGUGCAUCAGUAAAAUUUAAAACUAAAUUAUUUUAUAUAAAUAUAUGAAAUAUAGUAAAUAUAACAAAAGAUCUAAAAUUUCUAACAAAGAGUUAAGGGUUUGUAAAACUUGGAUGAUUAGGAGGAAAAUUUGAGUCACACAAAACAUCUCUUGUAGCAUUCAUUUUUGCCUUCUAAGCUGUAGUUAAACAUCACUUCAGAAAAAGCACGAAAUAUCAUAAUUAGUUCCCUUCAUGCACAGUUAAGGAGAUGGACUCUAGCAGAUGAAGGGAGGGUUGCUGUGUGCUUCAUUAUCAUUAUUUUUGAGUAAUAUUAAUUAAGCCACCUUCUGUGCUAAUGGUGGAACUUAGUGGUCCACAGUAGAAAUGAAACAGAUGUCGUCCUUGACCUUAUAAAUCACAGGAAUAAAACAUAUGGCAUUGUUUUAUAUAUGCCCAGAAUAAGAAGCAACUAAAUAUAACAUGAUGCUUACAAAUCUAUAAUUGUUCAGCAGAAAAAUGUUUAUCACGUUAUUUAGCAUAAAAGCACUGUGAUGAUACACUUCCUUGUAAGUAUUAUUGACUGGUGCUUUGAUUUCCAUAGGGUAGAAAUUGCCAGCUUUCUCUCCAGCAGUUUUGUAGUAUUUCAGAUUCCCACCAGCAAGGUAUAAAAGUGCUGAUCUUGGGAAAUGUUCUCAAGCACUGGAUAUUAUUGAUCCAUUUUAGUUUUUUCCAAUAUAAUUGGUCAACAAUACAGUGAUGGCAAAUGCUAUGGUAUAUCAGUAUUUUUCAAUAUUAGGUAGGCAUAGAAAAUAAUGAGUUGUAACUUUUUAUAUUGAUAUGAAAAUGAUGUCUACAUAAAGCAAAAGAUUGUGAACUGAGAAAAUGAAAUAGGGAUAUGUAAACUUUAUAAAUUUUGAACCCCCUGAUUCCAGUGUCUAAAAUAACAAUCCAAGCAUCACAGCUAAAACAGCCAAAACACAGCAUAAAUGACAAAAUAUAAGCUUUAGCUAUGUUUCUCCCCCAAAACAUUAAAGAGAAUUAAAUUCAUAGCCUGCCGCAAGUCCCUAAUAAAGUGAAGGUGUCAUUAUCUAAAUCUCCUAGUAAUUCCCACAGCUUCUCACUGCUUCUGCUCUCUUGUCACUUUAGUGCUUGUCUAAAUGGAGUGACUAUUCUUUUCUGUAAGUCCUUCCUUUCCAUCUAUAGCUUCACUAUUCGAGUCAAUCUUUCUUCAUACUCUGACUCAGCUUCACAGAGGUCCCACUGAGGAUGGUCAACAAAAGAGAAACAGAUGACAGACAACUUCUUAUGUGGAAAGUAUUUACAAGUUAAUAAUUUUUGAAAUCGUUGCAUAAUGCCAUUCUUGUUAAGUAAAUAAAAAUAAAAAACCCAAAGUGUGUUAAUUCUGUUUUGGAUACAUAUAGAAAAGGGAAACCCUAAAGUGUCAACAUUGGUUAGCAGAAAUAGAGAAUAAUGGGGAAAUUAACUUAAUAAAAAUUAAAAUAAUAUCUGUUUGCAAUGCAUUACUUUUGUAAUUAAAACAAAAAUGAAAUACAAGAAGGAAGGUAUAUGGAAAUGGAAGAAUUAAUUUGUUGGCUUGUGUGUUUUAGACCUCAGAUACAUAGGAUUAAUUUAGUGGCUCAGUAUAAAAAUAUUUUCCAGCCAGGCACGGUAGCUCACGCCUGUAAUCCCAGCACUUUGGGAGGCCGAGGUGAGAGGACAACUUGAGGUCAGCAGUUCGAGACCAGCCUGGCCAACAUGGUGAAACCCUGUCUCUACUAAAAAUACAAAAAUUAGCUGGGUGUGAUGGCCCAUGCCUGUAGUCCCAGCUACUUGGAAGGCUGAGGCAGAAGGAUUGCUUAAAUCUGGGAGGCGGAGGUUGCAGUGAGCCGAGAUUGCACCGCUACACUCCAGCCUGGGCGACAGAGUGAGACUCUGUCUCCAAACAAACAAACAAAAAAUAUAAUAAUAAAAAUAUUUCCCUUAACAUAUCUUCUCCUGUUUUAUUUUAUAAUAUUAUUAUACAGAUUAUCCCUAAUCUCUAUCCCAUUACCUCCUUGUUUCUUCCUUGUAUGUAUUAUAAUUGUGGAAUAGCUUGAAUAUUUCAAAAAUAUACAUUGUGUUUUUUGGGAUGUGAAUGUGAUCCUCAUUUUAAAACAAACAGUGUAUUUACUGUCACUCUGACACAGUCAUGUGUCACUUAACAACAGGGAUAUGUUCUGAGAAAUGCACUGUUAGGUGAUUUUGUGGUUGUACACAGAAUGUGAGUACAGCCUAGGGUGUACUCACAAACCUGGAUGAUACAGCCUACUACAUACCCAGGCUAUAUGGUAUAAUUUAUCAUUCCUAGGCCACAAACCUGUGCAGCACAUUACUGUGCUGAAUAUUGUAGGUGACUGUAAUACAAUGGUAAGUAUUUGUGUAUCUAAACAUGUCUAAAUAUAGAAAAGGUAUACUAAAAAUAUGGUAUUGUAAUCUUAUGUGACUACCAUCAUAUAGGUGAUCUGUCAUUGAAUAAAAUGUUGCUCUGUGGUACAUGACUGUAUUCUACUUAAAACUACGGUGGUUUGUUUUGUUUUGUUUUUCAGACGGAGUUUCACUCUUGUUGCCCAGGCUGGAGUGCAGUGGCCUGAUCUCGGCUCACAGCAACCUCCACCUCCCGGAUUCAAGCCAUUCUUCUGCCUCAGCCUCCGGAGUAGCUAGGAUUACAGGCAUAUGCCACCACGCCUGGCUAAUUUUGUAUUUUUAGUAGAGACGGGGUUUCUCCAUGUUGGUCAGGCUGGUCUCGAACUCCGGACCUCAGGUGAUCCGCCCGCCUCGGCCUCCCAGAGUGCUGGGAUUACAGGCGUGAGCCACUGCGCCUGGCCAGACUAUGUUUUUAAAAGCCAUCCCAUGUGGCUAGAUGCAAGCGUGAUAGUAAAAAUACUUAAUAUUUUUAAUAUGCUAUGGAUAUUGAUUAGUGAAAUCAGACAUUGGCAUAAAUAACUGCUGUAAUUAUACCUACGCAAAUCAGCUUAACAUUAGCUCAGGAUACAUGUACACCUAAUGAAUUGUUUCUAGCCCUUACAUAGCAUUUCACCAUAUUCUGUAGUAUUCCAUGCAUCAUAGCUGUGGCUACUUGUAUUGUCUUCUAAUCUCUUCUUCCAUAAACAAUACAGCGGUGAACAUUGUUGUGAAUGUCUUUUUGUGGAUCUAUGUGAUAAAUCCUCUGGUUUAUGUUCCCUAGCAUAAAAUUAAUGCAUCAUGGGUUACAUGCAUUUUCAUUUCAGUAAGUACUGUCAAAUCAUCACCUAGAAGUGUUAUCCAUAUACACAACAACAGUGUAUGAGAUCUCGAUAUUCCUCUAAACUUUCCUAAUACUUACCUCACUGCCUACUUUUUACAUAAUUUAUGAGUGGAAAAAGAUAUCAUUGUUUUACAUACAAUCAAAUUUGAGUUAAUUUGAUAAUUUCCUAAGAAGUUGCUUAAUAUUUUGGAUGUAUCUUGAGGAGGAAGAUUGAUCUGCAAUCUUCCUUUGCGUCAAGACUUUGGUUUUGAAAUCAAGGUUAUUCUAGGAAUACAGCUAAUCAGGGAGGUGAAAGUGCUCUAUGUCAAAAAUUACAAAACACUGCUCAAAGUAAUCAGAGAUGACACAAGCAAAUGGAAAAACAUUCCAUUCUCAUGGAUAGGAAGAUUCAAUGUUGUUUAAAUGGCCAUACUGUUCAGAGAAAUUUACGGAUUCAAUGCUAUUCCUAUUAAACUACCAAUGAUACUCUUCACAAAAUUAGAAAAAAACUAUUAAAAACUUCAUAUGGAACCAAGGCAAUUCUAAACAAAAAGAACAAAGCCAGAGGCAUUAUGCCUGACUUCAAACUAUGCUACAAGACUACAGUGACCAAAACAGCAUGGUACUGGUAUAAAAACAGACUCAUAGACCAAUGAAACAGAAUAGAGAGCCCAGAAAUGAGCCAUACACCUAUAACCAUCUAUCUUCAACAAGUAGACAAAAACAAGUAAUGGGGAAAGGACUGCCUAUUCAAUGAAUGGUUCUGGGAUAACUGGCCACCCACAUGCAGAUUGAAACUAGACACCUUCCUUACACCAUAUACAAAAACCAACUCAAGAUAGAUUAAAUACUUAAAUGUAAACCUCAAAGUAUAAAAGCCCUGGAAAGUAACCUAAGAAAUACCAUUCUGGACAUCUGAUGUGGCAAAGAUUUCAUGAUGAAGAUGCCAUAGCAACUGCAACAAAAACAAAAAUUGACAAAUGGGACCUAGUUAAACCGAAGAGCUUCUGCACAGCAAAAGAAACUAUCAACAGAAUAAACAGACAACCUAUAGAAUGGGAGUAAAUACUUGCAAACUAAUCAACGGAUAAAGGUCUAACACCCAUAAUCUAUAAGAAACUUAAACUAAUCAACAAGCAAAACAAACAAAAAACAAACAAAAAACCCAUUAAAAAGUGGACAAAGGACAUGCACAGAUACUUCUCAAAAGAAGACAUACAUGUAGCCAACAAGCAUAUGAAAAAUGCUCAACAUCACUAAUCAUUAUAGAAAUGCAAAUCAAAACUACAGUGAGAUACCAUCUCACAACAGUCAGAAUGGCUACUACAUAAAAGUCAAAAAGUAUCAGAUGCUGGCAAGGCUGCAGAGAACAGGGAACACUUAAAAACUACUGGUGGAAAUGUAAAUUAGUUCAGCCACUGCGGAAGCAAUUUGGCGAUUUCUCAAAAAACUCAAAGCAGAAUUACCAUUCAACCCAUCAAUCUCAUUAUUGGGUAUAUACCCAAAGGAAUAUAAAUUAUUCUAUCAUAAAGACACAUCUAUGUUUAUGUUCAUUGUAGCACUAUUCACAAUAUCAAAGACAUCAGAUCAAUCUAAAUGCCCACCAGUGGUAGACUGGAUUAGGAGAAUGUGGUACAUAUACUUCAUGGAAUGAUACAUAGCCAUAAAAGGAAUGAGAUCUUUCUUGUCCUUUGUAACAACAUAAAUGGAGCUGGAGGUCAUUAUCCUAAGUGAACUAAGACAAGAACAGAAAACCAAAUAGUGCAUGUUUCCACUUAUAAAUGGGAAGUAAACAUUGAGUAUAUAUAGACACAAAGAAGGGAGCAAUAGACAAUGGGGUCUAAUUGAGGGUGGAGGGAGAGAGGAGAGUGAGGAUUUAAAAAAACUACCUAUCCGGUACUAUGCUUAUUACCUGAGUGGUGAAAGAAUCUGUACACAAAACCCCUGUGACAUGCAAUUUACCUAUAUAACAAUCCUGCACUUAUACCUCUGAACCUAAAAUAGAGGUUGAAAAGUAAAAUCAAGGCUAUUAUGACCAUUGCUAUCCUCUUUUUCUAUAAUCUAGUUUAGUUUACAUUAGGUUGGCAUUAUUUCUCCCUUGAGUGAUUGAGAAUAUAGCCCAUUGAAGCCCUUUAGGCCUGAUAUUACCUUAUGAGAUGUUUUAAAUUAAAGAUUCACUUUUUGUAAUAGAUAUAGAAUUAUUUAAGUGUUGUAUUUCCUCUUUUAUUACUUUCAAGUCAUGUCUAUUUCUUUAUAUUUUCAAAUGCACUGGUAUAAGGUUACCUAGAAUGAUUUCUUAUUACAUUUAUGUUCUGCAGAAUAUAUUGUCAUAUAUCUAUUACUAGCAAUAGUGGUAAUUUAUUUGUUUUUUUCUAUUCCUUUGAUAGUACAAAGUUUGUUCAUUUUAUUAGUGUUUCAAAAGAAUAAACUUUUAGCUUUAAUACCUUUCUACUGUAUUUUUAUUUUGAAGAUAAAAUAAUAAUGUUUUAUGAAAUAAAUAAAUGUUGUUCUCUGCCCUCAUGAAGGCUUAAUUCAUUCAUAGACUUAUGAAUUAAUGGACUGAUGGGUUAAUGAAUUAAUAGGUUAUCAUGGCAUGGAACUGGUGGCUUUAUAAGAAAGGAAGAGAUCUGACCUAGCCCAUUGAGUCACCCUGUCUUGUGAUGCCCUUUGCCGCCUUGGAACUCUGAGGAGAGUCCCCACCAGCAAGAAUAUCUCACCAGAAGUGGACCAGUGACCUUGGACUUCUCAGCCUCCAUAAGUGUCAGAAAUAAAUUUCUUUUCUUUAUAUAUUACCCAGUUUCAAGUAUUCUGUUAUAAAUGACAGAAAAUGAACUAAAACAUUUACACUUGAUUUUAAAAAUAAAUUUCAAUUCUCUGGUAGAAUUCUUACUCUUUUCAUCUACUUUUUGAUCCUAUUAAUCGCUAGUAUUUUAUAUAUCACAACUGAUGUUUAUGCUAUCUGG